rnacentral:rRNA from 1 species
AUACGUAGGGGGCAAGCGUUGUCCGGAAUUAUUGGGCGUAAAGCGCGCGCAGGCGGUUCUUUAAGUCUGGUGUCUAAGUGCGGGGCUCAACCCCGUGAUGCACUGGAAACUGGGGAACUUGAGUGCAGAAGAGGAGAGCGGAAUUCCACGUGUAGCGGUGAAAUGCGUAGAGAUGUGGAGGAACACCAGUGGCGAAGGCGGCUCUCUGGACUGUAACUGACGCUGAGGCGCGAAAGCGUGGGGAGC